UUCAAGAGGAUUUAAAGACGUUUAUUUACGAUGGACUAAGGAGACAGAUGAAAUGAUCCAGAAAACACUACUCAUAAGGAUGUGGUUACUGGGAGCUGAGUUCUACAGAAAAGGCGAGGAUGACUUAGUUCAUGCACCACUGCAGAUAUACAGUGGACCUGAAUCUGUGCCGUGCACUUUUAUCUAAAUUACCUGAGUGCAUAGCGAAGCUGACCACACUGAGAACAAGCAACGGAUUUAUUACAGCACCCGAUAAGGCCUUUUUUCACAGCAGUAAUGGCUGACAUUUGGACUCAUUAUGACGCUACGUCAUUUAUGGCAGCGCAGCUCAGGAGCCCCUUGUUCCAACGCAGUCAAAGAGGCAGGUCCUUGAGCCGAGUCCGUGACCACUGUCAAAGAAUCGGCGCCUUCAUUCCCGGUGAUAGCUCUCAAGACCAAAGAGGGUAUUACAACAAACAAUUGAUUUAAUGAAAGUAAGAAACUGUGGAAUAGCUUACAGAUAAAUGCAAGUUUUAAAAUGAUUCGCUGUUGGAACAUUU